rnacentral:rRNA from 1 species
GCAAGUCGAACGGAAACAGGACGCUGUGAUCUCUUCGGAGUGAACUUGUCGCUGUCGAGUGGCGGACGGGUGAGUAAUGCAUAGGAAAUUGCCUCAAAGUGGGGGAUAGCCCGGAGAAAUCCGGAUUAAUACCGCAUGUGCUCUACGGAGCAAAGCGGGCCUCUGAUUUAAGCUCGCGCUUUGAGAUAUGCCUAUGUCGGAUUAGCUAGUUGGUGGGGUAAAAGCCUACCAAGGCGACGAUCCGUAGCUGGUUUGAGAGGAUGAUC